GACGAACGCUGGCGGCGUGCUUAACACAUGCAAGUCGAACGGAAAGGCCCUGCUUGCAGGGUCCUCGAGUGGCGAACGGGUGAGUAACACGUGGGUGAUCUGCCCUGCACUUCGGGAUAAGCCUGGGAAACUGGGUCUAAUACCGGAUAGGAGCCAUUUUUAGUGUGAUGGUUGGAAAGUUUUUUCGGUGUAGGAUGAGCUCGCGGCCUAUCAGCUUGUUGGUGGGGUAAUGGCCUACCAAGGCGGCGACGGGUAGCCGGCCUGAGAGGGUGGACGGCCCCAUUGGGACUGAGAUACGGCCCAGACUCCUACGGGAGGCAGCAGUGGGGAAGAUUGCACAAUGGGCGCAAGCCUGAUGCAGCGACGCCGCGUGGGGGAUGACGGCCUUCGGGUUGGAAACUCCUUUCGCUAGGGACGAAGCUUUUUGUGACGGUACCUAGAUAAGAAGCACCGGCUAACUACGUG
rnacentral:rRNA from 1 species